GAGCGGUAGUCUGUGUGUGUACUGAACAGAAAAUGCUGAUGGGGCUUCAAAUAAUCUCUCAGCAAGGAUGUUUGUCUAAAGGGGAGGAUGGGAAGGAUCGGGAGUCAGGGUACAACACAUAUUGUGUGUGUGCGUGUGCAUGCUGCUUGCUUCUUGUUUGAGGCCUGAUUCCAUUUUGUCCUGAACCGCCGACCUAUACCCCGGACAUGGACACACACACACAGACAGACAGACAGACAGACAGACAGACAGACAGACAGACAGACAGACAGACAGACAGACAGACAGACAGACAGACAGACAGACAGACAGACAGACAGAGGCUGUUGAGGAGGGCUGAAUGUCGUGUUCCUGUUUGCCUCUGCCCACUCUCCAAUAUAAAUAGAGGGACAGAGACAAAUAAAUGUAUACUGUAGAGACAGAUACAAAUAAAGGUAUACUGUAGAGACAGAGACAAAUAAAGGUAUACUGUAGAGAAAGAGACAGAGACAAAUAAAGGUAUACUGUAGAGACAGAGACAAAUAAAGGUAUACUGUAGAGACAGAGACAAAUAAAGGUAUACUGUAGAGACAGAUACAAAUAAAGGUAUACUGUAGAGACAGAGACAAAUAAAGGUAUACUGUAGAGAAAGAGACAGAGACAAAUAAAGGUAUACUGUAGAGACAGAGACAAAUAAAGGUAUACUGUAGAGACAGAUACAAAUAAAGGUAUACUGUAGAGACAGAGACAAAUAAAGGUAUACUGUAGAGACAGAGACAAAUAAAGGUAUACUGUAGAGACAGAGAAAUAGACAAAAAAAUAUAUAUUGUAGAGACAGAGAAAGAGACAAAUAAAGGUAUACUGUAGAGACAGAGAAAGAGACAAAUAAAGGUAUACUGUAGAGACAGACAAAUAAAGGUAUACUGUAGAGACAGAGACAAAUAAAGGUAUACUGUAGAGACAGAGACAGAGACAAAUAAAGGUAUACGGUAGAGACAGAGACAGAGACAAAUAAAGGUAUACUGUAGAGACAGAGAAAGAGACAAAUAAAGGUAUACUGUAGAGACAGAGACAAAUAAAGGUAUACUGUAGAGACAGAGAUAAAUAAAGGUAUACUGUAGAGACAGAGACAAAUAAAGGUAUACUGUAGAGACAGAGACAGAGACAAAUAAAGGUAUACUGUAGAGACAGAGACAGAGACAAAUAAAGUAUACUGUAGAGACAGAGACAGAGACAAAUAAAGUAUACUGUAGAGACAGAGACAGAGACAAAUAAAGUAUACUGUAGAGACAGAGACAGAGACAAAUAAAGGUAUACUGUAGAGACAGAGACAGAGACAAAUAAAGGUAUACUGUAGAGACAGAGACAGAGACAAAUAAAGGUAUACUGUAGAGACAGAGACAGAGACAAAUAAAGGUAUACUGUAGAGACAGAGACAGAGACAAAUAAAGGUAUACUGUAGAGACAGAGACAGAGACAAAUAAAGGUAUACUGUAGAGACAGAGACAGAGACAAAUAAAGGUAUACUGUAGAGACAGAGACAGAGACAGAGACAAAUAAAGGUAUACUGUAGAGAAAGGGACAGAGACAGAGAGACAGAGAAAGUUGUUGGUCCUUGCAGCUGAUGGAGUGAUCGGUACAGAGGAUGCGUCAAACCUGUUGAGGUGUGCACGCUUGUGUGUCUACGUGCGUGUGUGUGUGUGUGUGUGGAGGCAGCUGCGCGUGUCUGUUCUCUGUGUUGACAGAGAAGAGGAAGAAGAGACAUGUGCAGGAGAGGAUGGAGGAGGCCAGAUUCAAAUGUGAAGGAGGGAUGGAAAGAGGAGGCUGGGGAGGGAGUGAUGGAGGAAUCGUGUAUUUUUCUCCUUCACUUAGCAGAGAAACAGUUUGUUCCCAGGGUCUUUCCGUCUGACAGGUGUGAGUGUGCGUGUGUGCACGCUGUGUCAGCACUAUCUGCCGUCCAGUUAAAAAUGGUCCCAUUGACUUUCUUUCUUUCUGCUUCCUCUCUGUUCUACAUUGAAUGCAUACAUUUUGUUUAAUUACACAGAGAAACACUCACACACCACCCAAUUCAGAAACACAAUUAGGCUAAUAUGCCGAGUCAGCCUUCUCCAAAGUACACACAUCGCUGGGCUACACGCCGGUGAGAAUGAAUGGGCUGGGCAUUUUCUCUCCUACUUACCAUGUUGAUUCUGAACAGCUUGUGUAUUGACCGUUAGUGUGUGUGUGUGUGUGUGUGUGUGUGUGUGUGUGUGGGGGGGGAUUAUUGAUUUAAAGGGAAGAUUGCAGAAUUAGGUUGCUGUUAAACAUUCUGAUUUGUUUCAUCCUUCCAACUAAACGUCCCAAUACGACAUUCAUGAAGGCAUGUCGGGACACGCUUUCCGGAUGUGACGUAAGGAGGAGCAGUAGACGCGCAGAAGAGUUUUAUUUAUUCUGUAUCAGCCCCCUCCAUUUUUUAAAAACACUUCUACAGCUCGCAGGCUUUUAGAAUAGGGCCUCUUAUACCCCUGGCUUUCCCCUACUGGCUGCCCACGAGCAGCCUGGAAACACCUGACUUAUUAGCAGUUCAGCACAUCAGCAUUUCUCCUACUGUUACACCAAAUUAAGAUACACCUUUCCCAUCAUAGUAGACAUUGAAUGUCUAUAACCAAACUGUUACACCAAACUGGCCCCUAAACCCCCCAAAUAAAAAUGUGAAUUAAUAGUUUGGGUUGGGAGGGUUGAAAAUAUCUUUAAACUGAAAACUUGUCUCUCAGCCUUAUGGCAAAAUGUGUAGAAUAGCAGGAAAUGAGUUUCAAAAUGGCAAAGUUAUCUCUCUGCCCCAUGGCAAAAAGUAUAGAAUUACAGGAAAUGAGCUUUCAAACUUCAUUCUUUUCUCUCAGCCCCAUUACAAAAUGUGUAGAAUAGUAUUAUAAAACUGCAGAUGUUUCUCUCUGCACUUUGGAAAAAUGUGUUGAAAUGCAGUAAGUUAGCUGAGGGUGGGGGACCACCAGAGGUCGUUGCCUGGGGCCCCAAAUGUGGUCGUCCGGCCCUGUAGCUAGCCACAUGCUAACCUGAUUUCUACUACUAGCAGCAGUAAAUCCAGGUAACUAUCAUGGCUAACACAAACAUUGGCUACCAUAAAAUCCUGCAAUGUAUUAUUGGUAUAUACGUUUUUGAUAAAUGUAAUUCAAACGGAGAAAAUCAAAGUAUGUAAUUAUACAUUUUUUUUAAAUAAACUUUUGCAUAAAUACCUUUUUAGAUGGAAUAUCAUCCCUCUACAUUGUUAAAGUUGUGGAAAUAUAUUGUGCUAUACUAUGGUAUGUAGAAGAAGGGUGUGGUAAUGAGAGAGAGAGAGAGAGCGAGAUGAAAAACAGCCCAUGGCGCAAGGUAGGAGAGGUUAAAGUUCAGGUUUGCGAUCAUUGGUGCCAGAUGUUCUAUCUAUGCUCAUUGGAUGCUAUCUAUCCUCAUUGGAUAACAGAUGUUCAAACCGCUCUGAUUGGUGAAUGCAAACACACAGGCCACUGCCCCUUAAACGCACACUCAUUACUGAGGCAUGCUGAGAUUGUGCAAUGGCUCCUUUGCCUCACAGUCAGGUGUUCCUGCUUUGAUGUGUGCACUGUGUAACUGCUAUGUGUUUUGCAUGGCGUCAGCUCAAGCAUUCGUCAACAGGAGACAGUCCUGUAUGCAGGGUAACUACUGUCUGUGUCUGAAGAAGAGAAACAGGUUAGCUGUUUUUGUUCCCCAGCCAUAAGCCACCUUGAAGAUAUUUUAUGCUAACUUUAUUGCUCAAUUGUACACAAGGUCCAACCAAAAGUUGACUUCUGUUUUUAAUCCAACCGCUCCAAAAGAAACAUACAUUUUUUGGGGGUGGAGAGGUGCUAGGUGCUGCCACGCUGGGCCCCCGGGGAACUGUUGUUGUGGGGUUUAAUUGCCUUGCUCAAGGGCAUUGUCACACCCUGACCAUAGUUUGCUUUGUAUGUUUCUAUGUUUUGUUUGGUCAGGGUGUGAUCUGAGUGGGCAUUCUAUGUUGUGUGUCUAGUUUGUCUGUUUCUAUGUUUGGCCUGAUAUGGUUCUCAAUCAGAGGCAGGUGUUAGUCAUUGUCUCUGAUUGGGAACCAUAUUUAGGUAGCCUGUUUGGUGUUGGGUUUUGUGGGUGAUUGUUCCUGUUUCUGUGUUUGUUUGCACCAGAUAGGCAGUUUAGGUUUUUUCACGUU